UUAAACGUAAAAUUUUUAUUUAAUUAUUAUUAGUUAUGAUCUUUAAAAUUAAAAAUUUUGGCGGUAUUUUAGUCUUUUUAGAGGAACCUGUUCUGUAAAUGAUAAUCCACGAUUAAAUUUACUUUUAUUAUUAAUUUGUAUAUCGUCGUAAUUAAAUAUUUUUUUAGAAUAAUAAUAUUUAAAAUUUUUAUAAAAAAAUUAAUCAGAUCAAGGUGCAGUUUAUAUAAAAGUAGAAAUGGGUUACAUUAAAAUUAUUUUUGGAUUUUGAAUAUUAUUAUUUUAAUGAAAUUGGAUUUAAAUGUAAUAUUAAUUAAAAAAUUAAUAUGAUUUUGGCUCUAAAACAGGU
rnacentral:rRNA from 1 species